CCUACGGGUGGCUGCAGUGAGGAAUAUUGGUCAAUGGACGAGAGUCUGAACCAGCCAAGUAGCGUGAAGGAUGACUGCCCUAUGGGUUGUAAACUUCUUUUAUAUGGGAAUAAAACGUUCCACGUGUGGGAUUUUGUAUGUACCAUAUGAAUAAGGAUCGGCUAACUCCGUGCCAGCAGCCGCGGUAAUACGGAGGAUCCGAGCGUUAUCCGGAUUUAUUGGGUUUACAGGGAGCGUAGGUGGAUUGUUAAGUCAGUUGUGAAAGUUUGCGGCUCAACCGUAAAAUUGCAGUUGAAACUGGCAGUCUUGAGUACAGUAGAGGUGGGCGGAAUUCGUGGUGUAGCGGUGAAAUGCUUAGAUAUCACGAAGAACUCCGAUUGCGAAGGCAGUUCACUGGACUGCAACUGACACUGAGGCUCGAAAGUGUGGGUAUCAAACAGGAUUAGAUACCCUUGUAGUC
rnacentral:rRNA from 1 species